CCCUUAGAUGUCCUGGGCCGCACGCGCGUUACACUGAUGCAUUCAACGAGCUUAUAACCUUGGCCGAGAGGCCUGGGCAAUCUUGUUAACGUGCAUCGUGAUAGGGAUAGAUUAUUGCAAUUAUUAAUCUUCAACGAGGAAUGCCUAGUAGGCGCAAGUCAUCAGCUUGCGUCGAUUACGUCCCUGCCCUUUGUACACACCGCCCGUCGCUCCUACCGAUUGGGUGUGCUGGUGAAAUGUUCGGAUCGGCCGUUUGUCGCGGUUUCCGCGUCAUGUGGCUGAGAAGUUCAUUAAACCCUCCCACCUAGAGGAAGGAGAAGUCGUAACA
rnacentral:rRNA from 1 species